UUAUCCCUCAUAAAAGAAUAAAAAUAAAAAAUUCCCUAACAAAUUUUAUUCUAUCCUAACCCCCUUUACACCUUAUCCUAACAACUUAUCCUAACCACCUACCCCUAUCCUUACCCCCACCUCAUACCCACGUGUACCCCUAUCCCACCUUUCUCACAUUUUUUCCUUCUUAACCAAUUCAAAAAAGGGACCAAAAAAAAAAGAAAAGGAAAAUUAUCUACACAGCAUAAUGGAUUCCCAUUGAAUACAUGGGCCCACGGGAUUUACAAAGGGGCUCUCACAUUUUUGGCACUCUCACAGAAUAUAUACAUACACCAUCAUCUUCAUCAGAAAGGAGAAUAUACACACACAGGGAGCUGAGAGAAAAACUCCAUGGAAGACGACACUCCCACAGGUGUAGAUGCAUACACACAUAGAUGAUAAUACACAUACAGCUCACAAUUCAUCUCCUUCGUACAAAAGCACACAAAAAUCACACCACAGAGAGAUUGAGAGGGAGAUCGUGAGGUAGUGAGAGAGUAAAAGAGUAAGAGUAGCACAGAGAGAGGGAAAGAAACGGAAGGGGUUCGAGGGAGAUCUCGAGAGAAAGUAGUAAGUCGGCUCAAUUUUAGCGUCGCUCCGGAGAUACCCUUUACUGAAGUCGACUCUCUUUUUCCGACUUGACCGACUAACCUCAAAUCACCAAAAUUCCCUCAUUUUCUGGGGGUUUUCCAAGAAAAUUUGACUCGAAAACUUCUAAACUUGCCAAAAAACGUUAAAGAUUAUUGGAAUUCGUUCCCUUUCUAGCUAUUCUUGCCAUUGUUUGCAUCUACCAGGGUUUUGAGCAUGCAGUUUCUUCUGGUUUCAUCAUAUUUUGGUCUCAGGGAAUGCCUGAGGUUUCAUGUAUUUAUUCACCGGGGAAUGCUCCGAAAUAUCAUGUAUUCUAAGGAGGCUUGUGAUCAAGGAUCGAGGCAUUGGGUAAAGCAUUGGAGAGUAGUUUAGGAUUAGUGUAGGUUUACUUUUCAGUACCUUUUUAUUUUGGACUGUAUAAUUGGACUGACACUA